rnacentral:piRNA from 1 species
UGGUUGCUGGGAAUUGAACUCAUA